rnacentral:rRNA from 1 species
UGAAUGGGAUCCCGGGGAAUAACUGUCUUAAUUAAGUAUAUAGAAAUUACUUAGUGAGUGAAAAAUCUCACAUAUAGAAGAAAGACGAGAAGACCCUAGAAAUUUUUUAAAGUAUAUAUUUUUAUAUUCUAUUUUGUUGGGGCGACAUAGUAACAGUUAACUUACUAAUUUAACAUGCUAUUUAUUAGUAGAAAGAAUAAAUUACUCUAGGGAUAACAGCAUAAUUCAAUUUGAGUUUGUGACCUCGAUGUUGGACUAGGAAAUAAAUUAUUUAGAAGAUAAUUUAAUAGGCUCUGUUCGAGCCAUACUUUCCUACAUGAUCUGAGUUCAAACCGGAGCUCCA